rnacentral:rRNA from 1 species
UUCCAGACUCCUACGGGAGGCAGCAGUGGGGAAUAUUGCACAAUGGGGGAAACCCUGAUGCAGCUACGCCGCGUGAGCGAUGAAGUAUUUCGGUAUGUAAAGCUCUAUCAGCAGGGAAGAAAAUGACGGUACCUGACUAAGAAGCCCCGGCUAACUACGUGCCAGCAGCCGCGGUAAUACGUAGGGGGCAAGCGUUAUCCGGAUUUACUGGGUGUAAAGGGAGCGUAGACGGCAAUGCAAGUCUGGAGUGAAAGGCGGGGGCCCAACCCCCGGACUGCUCUGGAAACUGUACGGCUGGAGUGCAGGAGAGGUAAGUGGAAUUCCUAGUGUAGCGGUGAAAUGCGUAGAUAUUAGGAGGAACACCAGUGGCGAAGGCGGCCUGCUGGACGAUGACUGACGUUGAGGCUCGAAAGCGUGGGGAGCAAACAGGAUUAGAUACCCUCGUA